UACAGAGGUCCCAAGCGUUGUUCGGAUUCACUGGGCGUAAAGGGUGCGUAGGCGGUCUGGUAAGUCUGAGGUGAAAUCUCACAGCUUAACUGUGAAACUGCAUUGGAUACUAUCCGGCUCGAGGAAUGGAGGGGAGACUGGAAUACUUGGUGUAGCAGUGAAAUGCGUAGAUAUCAAGUGGAACACCAGUGGCGAAGGCGAGUCUCUGGACAUGGCCUGACGCUGAGGCACGAAAGCCAGGGGAGCAAACGGG
rnacentral:rRNA from 1 species